UUUGGAAUCCUGCAACUAUGGCUUAUGCAAUUUCUAGGGCUUUGGUGAAGACACUGGGUUUUUUAAGUUGAAGAGAGGAAAACGUCUAGGUAUGAUUUCUGGAGGGAAGGAGGAAGAUGUGGGGGGAAAGAGAUACCUUCUAUUGGGGCCAAAAUGCUAAUGAGAAAAUUGAAGCAAUUAUUGUGGUGUUCGCUUGGAUGUCGAGUCAGGAGAGGCAAUUGAAGUCAUUUGUUCAGCUCUACUCUUCACUCGUAUGGAAUUCCCUCAUCUGUCAUUCUGAAUUUCUCAAUCAGUAGUGCAGGUAAGUUGCGAUGAGAUAGUAAUGUUGAACAUUAAGACAGCUGACACCCACAGGUAGGCUUGUCUGAUGAGAUGCAUUCUAGUCUUGUCAUUUAACUUUAGACUACAGUUAAUUGCAGCUGAUGCCCACAGUUAUGUUAGAUAACCAAUUCUGUCUCCCAAUGUUGGUUGGGGACAAUGAUGUUGAAUGGAGAGAGAAGACUAACCUUACUCUCAUGUGCAUGAACUGGGAUCUGACAAUUAGAGAGGAUAAGCUUGCCACUCUCACUGCAAAUUGCUGUUGUUUUAUGGUUGUCCUUGUUGGCAACUCGACCACGUAACGAUGAUGAUGUGGCCAGUUUGGGUGACUUUGGAUGAAAAUGAUGACAUGACAGUGUCUAGUGUCACCGAUGAGAUAACAGAACUACUUGGUAUGCAUGGAAUGGUUUGAUACAUCCUUACUAUGUGGUGCGGGUUUCUAAGUCAAAACUGGUAAAAUUGAUCUAUUUAUGAUCGGAGGUAUUUUUAGCAGUGAAAAUGACAUUUUUGGAAGAUUUUUUCUUCAUAAAAAAUAUAUAUUGUAAUUUAUCUAGUCCAGUGCAUCUAAUUUUGUCGCAU